AGAACGAACGCUGGCGGCAGGCUUAACACAUGCAAGUCGAACGCCCCGCAAGGGGAGUGGCAGACGGGUGAGUAACGCGUGGGAACGUGCCCUUCGGUUCGGAAUAACUCAGGGAAACUUGAGCUAAUACCGGAUACGUGCGAGAGCAGAAAGAUUUAUCGCCGAAGGAUCGGCCCGCGUCCGAUUAGCUAGUUGGUGAGGUAAUGGCUCACCAAGGCGACGAUCGGUAGCUGGUCUGAGAGGAUGAUCAGCCACAUUGGGACUGAGACACGGCCCAAACUCCUACGGGAGGCAGCAGUGGGGAAUAUUGGACAAUGGGCGCAAGCCUGAUCCAGCCAUGCCGCGUGAGUGAUGAAGGCCUUAGGGUUGUAAAGCUCUUUCGCCAGGGACGAUAAUGACGGUACCUGGAUAAGAAGCCCCGGCUAACUUCGUGCCAGCAGCCGCGGUAAUACGAAGGGGGCUAGCGUUGUUCGGAUUUACUGGGCGUAAAGGGCGCGUAGGCGGCGAUGUAAGUCAGGCGUGAAAGCCCCGGGCUCAACCUGGGAGGUGCGCUUGGGACUACAUUGCUGGAGUUCGGGAGAGGAGCGUGGAAUUCCCAGUGUAGAGGUGAAAUUCGUAGAUAUUGGGAAGAACACCGGUGGCGAAGGCGGCGCUCUGGACCGAUACUGACGCUGAGGCGCGAAAGCGUGGGGAGCAAACAGGAUUAGAUACCCUGGUAGUCCACGCUGUAAACGAUGUGUGCUAGACGUUGGGGAGCCUAGCUCUUCGGUGUCGCCGCUAACGCUUUAAGCACACCGCCUGGGGAGUACGGCCGCAAGGUUAAA
rnacentral:rRNA from 1 species